AGUAAUGCUGUAUAGGCUGUUUUGGAAGAACUGUGGAUAUGAGAGAACCUCUUGGUUUUUCUUUACAGAUGCAGGUCUGCUUCCCCCACCAGCUGCUGCUCCAUUUUUCUCUAUAUUUGAUGAAUCCUCUACUUUGACAAAUCAGAACAUAAGUUGUUCAGCAGAUCGUAGCCGGAAAAGUGCCCGUCCCCCUCUCGCUGUUCUUAAGCCUGUGGAUUCUCUGAGUGCCAAGGAAAGCGCAGCAGCAGCAGCAGCAGCAGCCUGUAAUGAGCUGAAUGGAAUUGAACGUUUGGCUGAGGAUGCAAUUGUGACAGGCUCCUACAAGAACAAGACCCUUUGUGCCAACCCAGAGGACAUGUGUGACUUUAACAGGGCUGCCCACCUGGCCUCAACACCCUUCCACGGGGUGGUGGCUCAGAGGGUCCCAGCUCCUGCUUUCUCUCAGAGUGAACUGAAGGAAGAAGAUAGUCCAGAAUCCAGGAGUGCACCUCUGGCUUAGGAGACACCAGUGUGUGCAGGAGUAUACAUGAAUCUUGGAAAGUGCAGAGAUGGAGCCCCUUGGAGAGUAGCAGUGUGUCGCUAGAGGACGUGGACCGAUUCAUACAAACAGGUCUCAGUGGUGUCAUAGAAAAAAAAGAGCUUUUAUUUUCCUGACUCCAGUAUUUAUAGAUUUUUUUGUCAAUGACCAGGGAGGUAUUGGGUAAUUGUUAUAAAUGAAAUGCAACCAAAUUUAUCAAUAAUAAUUUUAUUGAACAAUUUGUUAAUUUUAGUUAUGGAAACAACCACAUCACAGUUAAGGUUGAAGCGUCGAGCCUGGGAUCGGCACUGGGUGAACUCUGAAUCAAUCUCUAUUGCCCUGAUUCCUCCAAGUUCAGCCAGCGAACAACCACAGUCCAGAGAGGUCACGAGCUAGCUCAGGAGCUCUCCGAGAACUCUAGAAGACCAAAAGGACAUCUUCCAAACCGUGGCAAAAAUUUGCUCUUAAAAUCUGAGUGCACAAAGAACCCACGCAAGAAAAAGGCACCGUAAGUAUUGCCUGGUUGAGCAGGGCAAUUGAGCGUGAUUGAGACGUGAUUUUAUCAUGAAGUGAGUGUGGACACCAAGGCUGCAGCUCUGUCUUCCUGCGAGGAAAAUGGUCGGCCAUGCGGGAAGCGUGUGGAAAAUUCCCAAAAAAAUCCUGUCAAAAAACCCCGAAUGGAAAGUUGUCAGGAGGGGAGGGGGACUUUUUGAGAAAGAAGCACAGCUCACCUCGUAGUUCUAAAGGGAAAGUUCCAGUGGGGAACGCAUAAGAGUCAUUCCCAACUCCUGUUAACCCAAAAUUGGGUAAGAGUGGUUUUUGGGGGGAAAUCUUGGGAAAGGGUCUUGGUUCACCCAAAGGGAGAGGUUCCGGGAACGCGCAGACUACACAGUCUCACGGUAUGCCUUCAGUGUGGUACAUACUUUUGGGAAGAUUUGGGAAGAAAGAGGAUUGAUAAAUACUAAGGGAAAAGACCUAAUCCAUGGGGAAAUAAUCCGACAGAUUCUAGAGGCUGUCCGAGAGCCGGAAGAAAUAUCAGUUGUCCAUGUAAAAGGACACCAGACGGGGUUGCAGUUUCAAACCCGAGGUAACAACCUAGCCGAUAAAGAGGCAAAACGAGCAGCUCUGCUCACCGUAAGUAUUCC